rnacentral:misc_RNA from 1 species
UUAACUAUUACAUAGUACUCAGACGACAUAAUAAAAGAGUUUUGGGGUCCUCUGGCAGGCACAGACCAGCCUAAGCCAGUGGUCAUAAGACGGGCCUGCCAAAGCAACAAAGGUAAUGUAAACAAAGGGUGGGAGAUCUACCCCAAAGGGCAAUUUCUCUGUAAUGAUCCUUCCGCAGGUUCACCUACGGAAA